GGAUGACCGCUGGCGGCGUGCCUAAUACAUGCAAGUCGAGCGAACAGGCGAGGAGCUUGCUCCUCUGACGUUAGCGGCGGACGGGUGAGUAACACGUGGAUAACCUACCUAUAAGACUGGGAUAACUUCGGGAAACCGGGGCUAAUACCGGAUAAUAUAUUGAACCGCAUGGUUCAAUAGUGAAAGACGGUUUUGCUGUCACUUAUAGAUGGAUCCGCGCCGCAUUAGCUAGUUGGUAAGGUAACGGCUUACCAAGGCAACGAUGCGUAGCCGACCUGAGAGGGUGAUCGGCCACACUGGAACUGAGACACGGUCCAGACUCCUACGGGAGGCAGCAGUAGGGAAUCUUCCGCAAUGGGCGAAAGCCUGACGGAGCAACGCCGCGUGAGUGAUGAAGGUCUUCGGAUCGUAAAACUCUGUUAUUAGGGAAGAACAAAUGUGUAAGUAACUAUGCACGUCUUGACGGUACCUAAUCAGAAAGCCACGGCUAACUACGUG
rnacentral:rRNA from 1 species